AGUCUGAACCAGCCAUGCCGCGUGCAGGAUGACGGUCCUAUGGAUUGUAAACUGCUUUUGUACGAGAAGAAACAACAUUACGUGUAAUGUCUUGACGGUAUCGUAAGAAUAAGGAUCGGCUAACUCCGUGCCAGCAGCCGCGGUAAUAAU
rnacentral:rRNA from 1 species